UCGAAGUGUAAUUUUACCUUUACUAAUUUAAAAAUUUUAAAAAAAUUUAAGGGUCUAAUAGCAAUUUUACAUUUUAGGGGGGCCAGGGCCCCUGCCAGCCCCUCUUAAAUUUGACUCUACAUGGACGAGCUAUUGGGAAGCUAGCCAGCCUUGCCAACUAGGACGAGUAGUGAACACCAACUAGAAUGGUUUUUUGAGGACAUGUGUCGG
rnacentral:lncRNA from 1 species